rnacentral:rRNA from 1 species
GUGCAAGCGUUGCUCGGAAUCACUGGGCGUAAAGGGUGCGUAGGCGGCUUGGUAAGUUGGGUGUGAAAGCCCCGGGCUCAGCCCGGGAAGGGCACUCGAAACUGCCGAGCUGGAGUGCCGGAGGGGAGAGUGGAAUUCCUGGUGUAGCGGUGAAAUGCGUAGAUAUCAGGAGGAAUACCGGUGGCGAAAGCGACUCUCUGGACGGCAACUGACGCUGAGGCACGAAAGCGUGGGGAGCAAACAGG